AUUCACGUGAAAAUUGGAUGAUUUGCGAUAUUCUCGUCAUAUAUCAUAUUAUUAUAUGACGAGAAUGUCGCAAAUCACGUUAUUUUCACGUGAAA
rnacentral:pre_miRNA from 1 species